GUUUCUAUAGCUCAGUGGUUAGAGCGCUAGUCAUUAAAACGGUGGAAGCGUGGGUUCGAUUCCCUGCUAAAUUCC
rfam:Folsomia candida strain VT population Fcan01_Sc030, whole genome shotgun sequence.